CUAGCCCAGACACCACGGUUAUUGAAAAAAAAAAAUGUCUGCACCAAAAGGCUAAAAAAAAUAGGUUCUAUUCUUAAGGCUAAUUACGUCUUCUUGCCUUCCAAAAUUCUGCUAUUCCUCUUUGUUCCAACAGUCCACCAAAUAACAAGAGGAAUAGUACUCCAUGGCUUUCAUUAUUUUAGUGGUUGCUGGAUAGAAUUUUUUUUUCAAUAUUUAUUUUAUUGUUUAAUGGAGCAGUUGGAGGACUAUGGAGUGGGAGCAGUGGACUGGAUCAAGUUUCAGUUUAUUAUCUAUUUUAUGUGGUUAUGGUUUCGAGCAAAUUACUUGUGUAUCUGUAUCCGCUAGUUGUCUCUGCAGUGCCAUAGUCCCUUGUCAUGUAUAAUAACUGUUGACCAUUUCGUUGUUUUCACUUGGAUCAUCUUUGCAUCUCUUCCUUAUUUCCUCGAAAAGACUACAUUUAAAGGGCGCGUUUUCAUGACUCAUGCCACAAAGGCCAUAUACAAGUUGCUUUUGUCAGAUUAUGUUAAAGUGAGCAAAGUCUCGGUUGAAGAUAUGUUAUUUGAUGAACAUGACAUUCUUCGCUCCAUGGACAAAAUUGAGGUUUGUUUUCAACAUCCCAUGUUUGAUCUCAAGCAGUGUAUGAUUGGUCAUUCAGAUUAUAAAAUCAUUUCUCUUGUGAGGUCUUAGUUUGAAAACAGGUUCUACGCUGAGCAAAAUAUUUUCACUCCAUUACCAGUUUGUAUUAUACAUCUGGUCCACAUAUAGAUCUCUUGGAAGUUCUGUCUAAGUGACUGUAGAUUGGUAGUUUUUCUAGCCUUCUCUUUACAAACUUUUUGGCAGAGACACCCUGUUUCGUAUUUUAGAGAUUUUCUCAAGUCCUGUAUUGGUUUUCCCCCUUGAAAUAGUGGUGAAUAAGGUCUAAUUGCCUACGUGUUUAUAUUGCCAAAUUAAAGUUUGGGGGGAGAGAGAAUAUGGGAAAGAUGCGGCGUUCUGGAUAUUUGUCAUAAUAUUUGCGUA